rnacentral:pre_miRNA from 1 species
AGGAGGAACAACCACAGUGGCCGCUGUCCGCUCUGGAGCCCUGGAGUCAGCCCUCGCAGUAACUCCGGAGCUCUCCGUCUGCAGGGCCUGGAUGCUCCAGGGGCGA